rnacentral:pre_miRNA from 1 species
CGGGGGAGGCAGAUCCUGGGCUGUGUCCCGGCGCCCUGUUUUCCAGGUCUGCGCUGUUGGAUUCGCGCUCCCGGCCGCGCAGCCCCCU